GAUGCAGCUUGGGUGCUCCUGCAGCCCUUCUGGGACCAUCCACAGGGCUCGAGCCAAAACCUCCACGCUGCCUGAAGGCUGGAGCUCCCGCUUGGCCCCCAGAGCUUCACGGCAAACAAAACAUCAGAAGCCCGGGCUGGCGGCGCAGGAAGGAAACCCGCUCACGUGGGGGCUGAGUCACGAUCCCGCUGCUCCCUCCCGGCAUCCCAAGGAGCGGGCGGCAUCGGGUACCAAGGGAUGGCAGAUCCCAUUGCCCCCCUGACCAGCUAAGGCGCCAAAAAUCCUUCUCCACCAGCACCACCGGUUUGUUUUUGAGAAAUAAAACACUGCUUUGUUUUU